rnacentral:rRNA from 1 species
UACAGAGGUCCCGAGCGUUGUUCGGAUUCACUGGGCGUAAAGGGUGCGUAGGUGGUGAGGUAAGUCGGAUGUGAAAUCUCCAAGCUCAACUUGGAAAUGGCAUUGGAAACUACCUUGCUGGAGGUUUGGAGGGGGGACUGGAAUUCUCGGUGUAGCAGUGAAAUGCGUAGAUAUCGAGAGGAACACCAGUGGCGAAGGCGAGUCCCUGGACCAAUACUGACGAUCAGGUGCGAAAGCGUGGGGAGCAAACAGG